UGUACGUCAACAGUUAAUUAGAAGCUAGAGUAUAAACCGAAAAAAUAGCUUCAACUAGCCAUUAGCAGGAUAGUUGCUAUUUCACCGAGUUCCUGCUGGAGAAAGGUAACGCGAUGGCAGAACCGAUAAACCGGAAGACUGGUCACUUACUGGAAGGGACCAUGGACAAUGUGUUGUUGCCUAAUCACCUUCAUAUCGUUACAGAUUCCUAUUGUGUCGUUUCCCUUUAAGAGAAAGGCCGGCGCAGAGGCUGAUUCGACGCUGUAGAAACAUCAAGCAUUGAUCUAAUUCCGAUGCUAACAAUUAAGAUAAGUAUUCAAUUUCUUGGCACUUUUUUCAGAAUUAUUUUGUUGCUGUUGAUAAGAUCCCGAAAUUAAGGAAAACCACCUAAUGUUCCAGUUAGAGAUGUACUAGCUGUGCUAGAUUUGGACUACAUGUUCGAAAUCUACCUUUUUCUAAAAGCUAUCGAUCUUCGUCUAUAAUUUCUUUUUUUAUUUUCAUAUUUCCCUUUUCUACCUUCCUUCCUCCUCUCACAAAGUGUUAAGUUAAGAAAUCAAUUGUAAACAACAAAAUCGAUUUUGGCUCCUUAAAGCCUAAAGGUAUGAGCCGUUUCAAAUAAAGAAUUGUUAAAAAAAAAAAAAAAAAGAUCCCGAAAUGAAUACAAGAAAUCUAAAAGUAAUUUGAUUUCGGUAUUGAAAUUGAUUUACAAUAUCUUUCUUCGAAUUGAAUUUAGAUGUUGUACCUAUUAGUAUUUUUGUUCAUGAUCUAGAUAGAAAUGUUAUAUUCGAGACAUGACAAUUUUUUAUUCCAUCUUUUAUGUUAUCAGACGAAAACAAAUUCUCACAGCUUGGAAUUGAUUUUUUUUGCUUGGUUCUGGAACGAAAAUUUAAUUAGAAACUUAGGUAUCGACAAGAUAGCACUGUAGGGAAUAAUAUGAGAUAAAAUAUCUGUGCUAGAAUAGACCAAAA